CGUAGGCGGCUUGGUAAGGGGGCGGUGAAAGCCCGGGGCUCAACCCCGGGUCUGCCGGACCGACUGCCGAGCUUGAGCACACUAGGGGCAGGUGGAAUUCCGGGUGUAGCGGUGGAAUGCGUAGAGAUCCGGAGGAACACCGGUGGCGAAGGCGGCCUGCUGGGGUGUGGCUGACGCUGAGGCGCGACAGCGUGGGGAGCAAACAGGAUUAGAUACCCUGGUAGUCCACGCCGUAAGCGAUGGGCACUAGGUGCUCGGGGGAGCGACCCCUUGGGUGCCGGCGCUAACGCAUUAAGUGCCCCGCCUGGGGAGUACGGCCGCAAGGCUGAA
rnacentral:rRNA from 1 species